ACCUUUUGAGCUCGGCGUGUCAGCAUUUUGAAAAACUCUAACUUAACUCUGGUGCCGUGUCACAAAUGGAAAUUUUUUUAUAUUUGCAACCAUAGUAAAACAAACAUGUAUAUUUUUGAUAUUUAUUUUAUAUAUUUAAAUGCCAUUUAACAAAGAAAUAUCAACCAAAAAAAUGAGUUCGCGUGUCAGAGGUUCGCCAUCACUGCCAUAAACUGUAAUUGAUUCAGUGGCAUGAAGAACUGCUUUUAUCUUAAGCCUGGCAUGCGUAACAGUGGAUAUAGCAGGAAAGUGGUUUUUUUU